rnacentral:rRNA from 1 species
UUCCCGGGCCUUGUACACACCGCCCGUCACACCACGAAAGUUGGCAAUACCCGAAGCCGGUGGCCUAACCCGCAAGGGAGGAGCCGUCGAAGGUAGGGUCGAUGAUUGGGGUG